rnacentral:rRNA from 1 species
UACAGGGGGUGCAAACGUUGCUCGGAAUUAUUGGGCGUAAAGCGCACGUAGGCGGUUUGUUAUGUCGGAUGUGAAAGCCCUUGGCUCAACUGAGGAAGUGCAUCCGAAACUGGCAAGCUAGAGUAUGUAAGAGGGUCGCGGAAUUCCCGGUGUAGAGGUGAAAUUCGUAGAUAUCGGGAGGAACACCGGUGGCGAAGGCGACAUCCUGGACCGGUAUUGACGCUGAGGCGCGAAAGCCAGGGGAGCAAACGGG